CCGCUGACGCCAACCACGCAUGUUCUGCUGCUAAGGCGACAUCCAACACGACAGGACCAGCAGAGUCCGGGAAGCCUCGUUGCUCCGUGAGAAAGGCGCCAGGCGUGGACAUCAAUGUACAAGCCUGCGGGGAUCAGGAUCUGCAGCUGACCUGCAUCCGAGAGAUGAAGGUGCCUGUGCUGACGGUGGUCUUGGCUGAGUGCUGGGGC